GACGAACGCUGGCGGCGUGCCUAAUACAUGCAAGUCGAACGAACUCUGGUAUUGAUUGGUGCUUGCAUCAUGAUUUACAUUUGAGUGAGUGGCGAACUGGUGAGUAACACGUGGGAAACCUGCCCAGAAGCGGGGGAUAACACCUGGAAACAGAUGCUAAUACCGCAUAACAACUUGGACCGCAUGGUCCGAGCUUGAAAGAUGGCUUCGGCUAUCACUUUUGGAUGGUCCCGCGGCGUAUUAGCUAGAUGGUGGGGUAACGGCUCACCAUGGCAAUGAUACGUAGCCGACCUGAGCUGGUAAUCGGCCACAUUGGGACUGAGACACGGCCCAAACUCCUACGGGAGGCAGCAGUAGGGAAUCUUCCACAAUGGACGAAAGUCUGAUGGAGCAACGCCGCGUGAGUGAAGAAGGGUUUCGGCUCGUAAAACUCUGUUGUUAAAGAAGAACAUAUCUGAGAGUAACUGUUCAGGUAUUGACGGUAUUUAACCAGAAAGCCACGGCUAACUACGUGCCAGCAGCCGCCGUAA
rnacentral:rRNA from 1 species